GGCCGUGUGGUCUAGUAGUAUGAUACUCGCUUUGGGUAGUGAUCUUCAUUGAAGAACAACACAUCUGCGAGUGGUCCAGGGUUCAAUUCCCUGCUCGGCCC